rnacentral:rRNA from 1 species
AUUGAACGCUGGCGGAAUGCUUUACACAUGCAAGUCGAACGACAGCACGGACUUCGGUCUGGUGGCGAGUGGCGAACGGGUGAGUAAUACAUCGGAACGUGCCCAAUCGUGGGGGAUAACGUAGCGAAAGCUACGCUAACACCGCAUACGAUCUAAGGAUGAAAGCGGGGGAUCGCAAGACCUCGCGCGAUUGGAGCGGCCGAUGGCAGAUUAGGUAGUUGGUAGGGUAAAGGACUACCAAGCCGACGAUCUGUAGCUGGGCUGAGAGGAUGAUCAGCCACACUGGGACUGGGACACGGCCCAGACUCCUACGGGAGGCAGCAGUGGGGAAUUUUGGACAAUGGACGCAAGUCUGAUCCAGCCAUUCCGCGUGCAGGAUGAAGGCCCUCGGGUUGUAAACUGCUUUUGUACAGAACGAAAAGGCUCUGGUUAAUACCUAGGGCUCAUGACGGUACUGUAAGAAUAAGCACCGGCUAACUACGUGCCAGCAGCCGCGGUAA